rnacentral:rRNA from 1 species
GGAAUUGACGGGGCCCGCACAAGCGGAGGAACAUGUGGUUAAUUCGAUGAUACGCGAGGAACCUUACCUGGGCUUAAAUGUAGAGUGCAUUUUCUAGAGAUAGGAAUUCCCUUCGGGGCUUUCUACAAGGUGCUGCAUGGUUGUCGUCAGCUCGUGCCGUGAGGUGUCGGGUUAAGUCCCAUAACGAGCGCAACCCUUAUCGUUAGUUGCCAUCUGGUAAAGCAGGGGACUCUAGCGAAACUGCCACCGUAAGGUGAGAGGAAGGUGGGGAUGACGUCAAAUCAGCACGGCCCUUAUGUCCAGGGCUACACACGUGUUACAAUGGUCGGUACAGAGGGCAGCUACCUGGUGACAGGAUGCUAAUCUCGAAAACCGGCCUCAGUUCGGAUCGAAGUCUGCAACUCGACUUCGUGAAGCUGGAUUCGCUAGUAAUCGCGCAUCAGCCAUGGCGCGGUGAAUACGUUCCCGGGCCUU